rnacentral:rRNA from 1 species
UACAGAUCAUAGGCUUGGUAGGCUGUUACCCCACCAACGACCUAAUCUGGCACGGGCUCCUCUCUAGGCGAUAAAUCUUUGAUGUUUGCACAUAUUAUAAGGUAUUACCUACAGUUUCCCGUAGCUAUUCCUUACCUAGAGGUAGAUUCCCGUGUAUUACUCACCCGUCUGCCACUCAAUAGGCGAACCUAUUGCGUUCGACUUGCAUGU